rnacentral:rRNA from 1 species
UACAGAGGGUGCGAGCGUUAAUCGGAAUUACUGGGCGUAAAGGGCGCGUAGGCGGUCUUGUAAGUUUGAUGUGAAAUCCCUGGGCUUAACCUAGGAACUGCAUUGAAUACUGUGAGACUGGAGUGCUGUAGAGGGUAGUGGAAUUUCCGGUGUAGCGGUGAAAUGCGUAGAUAUCGGAAGGAACACCAGUGGCGAAGGCGGCUACCUGGACAGACACUGACGCUGAGGCGCGAGAGCGUGGGGAGCAAACAGG